UACGUAGGGGGGCGAGCGUUUGUCCGGAUUUAUUGGGCGUAAAGAGCGUGUAGGCGGCCAGGUAGGUCUGCUGUGAAAACUCGAGGCUCAACCUCGAGACGUCGGCGGAAACCAUCUGGCUAGAGUCCGGGAAGAGGAGAGUGGAAUUCCUGGUGUAGCGGUGAAAUUCGUAGAUAUUAGGAAGAACACCAGUGGCGAAGGCGGCUCACUGGCCCGGUACUGGCGCUCAUGUGCGAAAGCGUGGGGAGCAAAC
rnacentral:rRNA from 1 species